GUGUACACAAGACAGAGCUCCCAUCAAGUUUUUUUAAACUUUACAAUUAAAUCCACCUUCAAAAGAUUUUUCAUAAACUUUUUCCGUAUCAUUCUCAUAAAUGUAACCCACCUCUAUCUUUUACAUUAGCUGCACCUUUACUUGAAGUCUAUGAUUAUAUCAUGCACGAGAGCUUUCUAAAGAAACUAACUGACAACAGCGGUAUACAAACUGAAUUACUAGUAAAAGUAGGGUCUUCGUGGCUCAUCGUUUAUAGGGCAGGUUCCUCUAAAUGGCUAUCUUGCCGCCAAAUCCGUUAAAUUUCAUAAAUUACUAUUAUUCCAAGGCUUUUUCCUUAUAAGUA
rnacentral:rRNA from 1 species